rnacentral:lncRNA from 1 species
AAAUCUGAGGGGCAUCUGAGCCCAGGCUGUUAGGUUUCCCUUCCUUUUCCUUUUUCGUGGUUCCUCAGCCUUUGUUGCGAUUCCUUGAUUGACCUCCCUAAGAAAGAGGCUCCGGAAGAGACCCACUCCAGCACCCACCCCCCCCCUCCCAAACCUGGAGGCUCCUUGGAGGGGCCACCUUCCACUCCUGAGAGCCUUGGGUGGAGCAACCAAAGGAAGAGGCCGCAGGCUGCUGUGCUCGCGUUCUCCCCAGGGUUUGCUGUGAAGGAUUCUUCUCCCUAAGGACUGUGGCCUGAGUUGUCGGUUAUCCCGCCCAGAACACACAGGAUGUGGAAGAUGCCUUCCCGGGAGGAAGAACCGGGAGCAGAGGCUUGGGUAAGAUUCCCCAGCAGAAGAUUCUUUAUGCCAGGACGGCAGCUGUGGAAGCCAUAAUAACCACAAGAAAUGCUAUAAUCGAGAGGAAGAAAACGGGUCUGCCAUGUAUGCCCGACAAGACCACUUAACCUUAGACUCUGCCAAAGGAGGACGCCGCUCGCCCUUGUUCCCAGAGGAGUGGUGGUGAUUCCUCAAGGGGUGGCUGCCUUGGCCGACUGGUGCAUGUCAGGAGUGGAGAUGCACAGUGACUUGCUAUGCAAAGUGCCUCACCGGCUGUACGGAUGUGUGUGAACUGCUAAAGACCGCAAAGGAACCAGCCUAUGACUUAAGAUCACC